UACGGAGGAUCCGAGCGUUAUCCGGAUUUAUUGGGUUUAAAGGGUGCGCAGGCGGGAUGUUAAGUCGGCGGUGAAAUUUUGCAGCUCAACUGUAAAAGUGCCUUCGAUACUGGCUUUCUUGAGUGUGGAUGAAGUAGGCGGAAUUUGUGGUGUAGCGGUGAAAUGCAUAGAUAUCACGAGGAACUCCGAUUGCGCAGGCAGCUUACUAAACUACUACUGACGCUCAGGCACGAAGGCGUGGGGAGUCAAACAGGAUUAGAUA
rnacentral:rRNA from 1 species